CUGCUCAGCUGUAUAGCCAUUGCCGGCCAUGCGGCACCGGUGAUACCUAGACGCACGCACCAUCUAAAUGGCCGGCCCGCCGCCGGGCACUUGCCGGUGGUAAGGUCUUUUCUUCUUGUCUUGUUUGGAUGCAUUGUAUUUUUCCGAUCCAAGCGCUGCGGUUCAUUCGACGUCGUUGCCGUUGUUCUGCUUGCCGCUGUCGAUGAGGCAGGUCUCGACGCCGCCGGUCAUCCAGAGGAACCACGCGUAGCUGCUGCGGUGGUGGCUGCUCUCGGGCUCCUCGUCGAUGGCGCCCGUGAACAUGUCCUCCG
rnacentral:lncRNA from 1 species